UACGGGGGGAGCAAGCGUUGUUCGGAUUUACUGGGCGUAAAGGGCGCGUAGGCGGCCAGCGCAAGUCAGUUGUGAAAUCUCCGGGCUUAACUCGGAACGGUCAACUGAUACUGCGCGGCUAGAGUGCAGAAGGGGCAACUGGAAUUCUCGGUGUAGCGGUGAAAUGCGUAGAUAUCGAGAGGAACACCUGCGGCGAAGGCGGGUUGCUGGGCUGACACUGACGCUGAUGCGCGAAAGCCAGGGGAGCGAACGGGG
rnacentral:rRNA from 1 species